GGUUAGCAUUUUACAUCAUACCCCCAAGACAUGCUAACCUCUCACCAUUACAAUGACAGGGGAGGUUAGCAUUUUAUAUCAUACCCCCAAGACAUGCUAACCUCUCACCAUUACAAUGACAGGGGAGGUUAGCAUUUUAAAUCAUACCCCCAAGACAUGCUAACCUCUCACCAUUACAAUAACAGGGGAGGUUAGCAUUUUAUAUCAUACCCCCAAGACAUUCUAACCUCUCACCAUUACAAUAACAGGGGAGGUUAGCAUUUUAUAUCAUACCCCCAAGACAUGCUAACCUCUCACCAUUACAAUAACAGGGGAGGUUAGCAUUUUAUAUCAUACCCCCAAGACAUGCUAACCUCUCACCAUUACAAUAACAGGGGAGGUUAGCAUUUUAUAUCAUACCCCCAAGACAUGCUAACCUCUCACCAUUACAAUAACAGGGGAGGUUAGCAUUUUAUAUCAUACCCCCAAGACAUGCUAACCUCUCACCAUUACAAUAACAGGGGAGGUUAGCAUUUUUGGAGAGUAUGAUGUUUUUGUCUGUUCUCACUCAUCAUUAAUCAUGAUUCAUUCAGUAUUAUCCGUAAUCAUGAGAACAUCCACGUUAAUGUAGAAGUGUUGAGAAACAUAGUUGAUUCUAAUCUCCAUUAUUUAACAUUUCUAUUGGGCACAAAAUAAUCUGAAACUCAACCAAAACAAACAUCAAAUGCAUCCAACAAGUUUGUAGAGUCACAAGAUUGAUAUAUUUAAAGCUAUGAACAAGGGACCAAAUACUAAACUGUUGACUACCUUAAUACAUAGAAGUGAAUUUGUCCCAGUACU